rnacentral:lncRNA from 1 species
AAGAGAGUAUACAUAUCAGUAAUAAACAAGAGAGGCUCACACAUACCCACAUACAUAACAAGCAACACACUCGUCCUCUUAUCAACCACAGGUGAGUAUAACUCGCAUUUGACGAUUCUAGUAUCUUAGAAGCAAAGAAAAAUAGGAAUCAAGCUUUGAAGGUAAUGCAUCUAUUACUAGUUUAAACUAAUUACUCUUUAAGAAAAAGGCUAUAUUUCACAUUGUAUGGAAUUGGAAAUUUGUGCUCUAAAAAUAUGGGUUUUUUAAGAUUGCUACAUCAUGAACAACAUGAACUCUGCCAUAUUAUUUUAUAGCAAAUUAAGUCGCCGUCAUUUUUAUCUUGAGUCAUGGUUCUUGUGUGCGUUCUGGGUGGAUUCAGGUUCCCGAAAUAGCUAUGAGUGCAUUCCAAAGUAAUCAAAACAAUUAAUUAAUAAAGUCUUAUGAUUAAAAGUUAACACAAAUGGGAUACCCAAAAAAAAUGCUCAUAGGAUUAUAUAUGUGCCAUAUCAUAAAAAGCAAUCAGACAUGAACAUGCACAACCCUAAGGCACGUCUAGAACUAUUGUUAAAAUACUCGAAGUAAGAAUAGGGAGUGUAAAUUAUACCUUAAAGUGUUAUCACCGUGCCGAUGGUUACGCGGCUCCUUUAUUGAUUGGUCUCGCAUAGACCCAAGCCGGAAACAAUCACAAACCACCUUAUCCCACUGUCCUUUGAUUCAUCUAAAGGAAAGCCCUAAAAAGGAGAAUAAGCCAAUACUAGCAUAAACAGAACCGAUCAAAUGAAAAAAGGUCGAAAGUAAAGAGGGAGAUGAGCUCACCCUCAUCAGAACGAAAAGGGGGAGAGAGGUAGGAAGGACCCAACCGCGAAUAAUUUCCUCGUCCAAAAGCCGUCACAACCCGAAGAGCAAGCCAUUACCGUCGCACCAUCCCUACCAAUCUCUCGCCACCACUGUGAACCAUCCUCGGUUGUUAUUGUUGUUCCUCACUGCCGCUGGAAGACGAAAACCAGUCACCGUCGCACCCUCAUUAGCCACUAUAGUGAAUUGGACCCGCCUGGUACUCAGCCACGAACCAUCUGGGACGGACAACCCUUGUUCUUCUCGCCGGCGUCGCUGGAAUCGAAGAGGAGAAGGGAGAAGAGUUCUAGGGAUUCUUAUUCCCUUUCCUUUCUCAACCGUGAAAUAGGGAUACCACCCCUAACCCCUCUUUUGUUUUUUUUUUGUGUUCUGCCAAUCCAUGUAUGUGUUUAUUCAUUGUGUUUUUUUGUUGUUGUUUUAUUUUGUCAUUUUAUUU